UACGGAGGGUGCGAGCGUUAAUCGGAAUUACUGGGCGUAAAGCGCGCGUAGGCGGCUAUCUAAGUCGGUUGUGAAAGCCCCAGGCUCAACCUGGGAAUGGCAGUCGAUACUGGAUGGCUGGAGUAUGGGAGAGGACAGUGGAGUUCCAGGUGUAGCGGUGAAAUGCGUAGAGAUCUGGAGGAACAUCAGUGGCGAAGGCGACUGUCUGGCCUGAUACUGACGCUGAGGUGCGAAAGCGUGGGGAGCAAACAGG
rnacentral:rRNA from 1 species